AGGUUGCAGUGAGCCAGAAUGAUGCCACUGCACUACUCCAGCCUGGGUGACAGACUGAGACACUGUCUCAAAAAAUAAAAAUAAAUAUUAGUAAAUGUAUUAACAAAUUUAAUGAAUUGCUGAAUAGUUUAAAAAAUUUUUUUAAAGUUUUUUGUCUUGGAAAGUCUAAACUAUAUUUCUAUGUAUCAGUAACAAAAUGAACAGUAUGUAAAGUGGAUUUGUGUUUGUGAUAAAAGAAUAACUUUUGAAAAAUGUAUAGGUAACCAUAUUUGUUUUGAAAAACAUUGAGGAAAAUCAAAAGAACGGAAAUAGUACCUGUAGCUUACAAUGUACAGCUAAGGAGAAAAGAACUAUAGUAACACUUUUUUAUUAUUUUCACUGAUAAUAGGAAAGAAUAAAUGAAGCAAACAAAAACAAUGAUAAUGAAGAUAAAAGAUGAUAUUUAAAAAAUCCACAUAUUUGAUUUUUUAAAAAUCUACUUCAUGCAGCUUACAAGAGGUUCUUAAAACAGAACCACAGAAAUAUUUUAAGAUAAAGCGAUGAAAAAUCCUAACAUAAAAACGAGUCAAACCUGUAUGUCAAUAUUAAUUUAAAUUAACUGAUAAAACUACACAAAGUAAGCACUGAGGAGGGAAAAAAGAGGAACACUUCCUAAUAACAAAAGGGAUACUAUCAUGAAGAUAAACAACCAUUAAUGUGUAUGCACCCGCUGAUAAAGCCUCAACAUAUAAGUAGAAAUUGACAGACUUACAAGAAAUGAAAAAAAAUAGCUAACAUCAUAGGACAUUUUAACACUUGUCCAUCGGAAAUUAACAAAUCAAACAGAAAAAAGAUUAGUAAGGCUACAGAAGAUUUGACUAACACAUUUGAUUUUAUACACGUAUACACACACAUACACAGUCAUCCCUCAGUAUAUGUGGGGAAUUGUUUCUAGGACUGCCCACAGAUGCCUGAAUCCACAAAACUCAAGUUCCAUAUUGGCCCUGCAAAACUUGCAUGGGCCCUGUGGAACCCACAUAUUCGAAAAGCCAGCUCUCCAUAUAUGAGGGUUUCGCAUGCCACAGAUAACUGUAUUUUUUGAUCCUCAUUUGGAUGAAAAAAAUCUGCAUAUAAGUGUAUCCGUGCAGGUCUAACCCACAGAUUGUUCAAAGGUCAAUUGUAUAUAUCGUAAUACUGUUGCAUUGAGGAUUAAGUUUCAACGUAAAUUUCAGAGGGGACACUGUCAUUCAAAUGGUAGCAGGAGCUAAAGCACUGCAAAGAGAAGCUUAAGGUUUUACACAUUUUUUGAAAGAUUCGGAAUAAUUAAAAAUGAAUGAGUUAAGCUUUCAACCCAAGAAACAAGAAAGAGAACAGGAUACACCCAAGAGAAUAAUAUGUAAGGAAGUAACAGAGCAGAAUUAAUGAAUUAGAAAUUGAUAUAAAAUUUAUCAUGGCUGAUCAAUGGGAAAAGGAAACACAAAUACCAGGUACGAUCUCGGCUCACUGCAACCUCCGCCUCCCAGCUUCAAGCAAUUCUCAUGCCUCAGCCACCCCAGUAGUUGGGAUUACUGUGGAAGAAUACUAAGAAAGAGAACAGGGUACACCUAAGAGAAUAAUAUGUAAGUAAGUAACAGCAGAAUUAAUGAAUUCUGAGUUGGAAUUACUGUGGAAGAAUACUAAGAUCCACUUCAAAAUGUUUUAGAAUUGUAAUGAAAUAAUCCUUAAAAUAUAUAAAAGAGCAGUAUCAAUGUCCUAAGUUAAAAAAAAAACAUUAAAAAAUGAAUGCAUCAAAAGUAUAUUUCAACAAAUGACUUGAGGCAUACACCAGGUGUUAUGAAUGCUGUGGUUUGAAUGUGUCUCCAUAUUUUAUGUAUUGGAAGUUUAAUCUCCAAAUUUAUAUAUUGAUUGGAGGUGGGGCCUGUGGAGGUAGUUAGGAUUAGAUAAGGUCAUCAGGGUGGGGCCCCCAUGAUGGCACACCUGUCUUUAUAAAAAGAGGAAGAGAUCUCUGAGCUGACAUGCUGUAGUCCCCUUGCCAUGUGAUGCCCUGCACCACCUCAGGACUCGGCAGACUCCUUAUCAGCAAGAAGGCCCUCACCAGAUGCAGCUGCCUGUCUUGAACUUCCAGCUCCAGAAGUGUGGUAAAUAAAUUUCUUUAUGAAUUACCCAGUCUCAGGUAUUCGGUUAUAGCAACAGAAAACAGCAUAAGACAACGAUUUUUGCCAAUCUUCAGGAAACAUUUAAUCUUACUCUUUUGCAAAUUGUUCCAAUGAGUAGAGAUAUGAAGGGUAACUUAAUCAGGAUUGUAUGAACACUUAAUCAAAACUAGAUAAGGACAAUACAAGAAAAAAGUAUGGAGACAUUCUCAGACAUCAACAAAACUGGCAAUGAAAAUUCAGUUUAUAAUACAAUAAAACAUUUGACCAAAUAUGAUGUAUCUUAUGAUGUUUACUCUUAAUGUGGUUUGACUUAAAAAAAAAAAAAAGUUUUAAUGUAGUUUUCUACUUUAGCAGGUUAGAAUCUCAAGAAAAAGGGUUUCAUAAAAUUAAACAUUCAUUCAUGAAUUUUUAUUUUUUUAUUAUUUUUUAUUUUUUUAAAGACGGGGUUUCACCAUGUUGGUCAGGCUGAUCAUGAACUCCCGACCUCAGGUGAUCCACCCGCCUUGGCCUCCAAAGUGUUUGGAUUGCAGGCGUGAACCACCACGCCCGGCCUCAUUCAUGAAUUUCUUUAAAAUGUUGGGCAAACAAAGAAUAGAAGGGAACUUUCUUAACCUAAUAAAGGAUAUUUACUAAAAGUCUGUAAGAGAUAUAAUAAUGGUUAAACUACAGCAGAACUGAGAAAUUAGAAAAGAAUACCACCAUCACCACUUCUAUUCACACUUUAAUAGCAAGUACUACCCAAUACUAAAAGACAGAAAAGGAAUAGACAAGACAAAGUUGUCCUAUUUUUAGUCAAUGUAAUUAUAUGGCAAACCCAAGAAAAUUUAUAUAGUGUUAGAACUAGUUGGCAAGUUCAUCAUAGUUGUUGGAUAAAAGAUCAGCCCAUAAAAAUUGGUAGCAUUACUGUGCUCACUUAUAGUCCAUUGAAUAUAUAAUAUUUUUAAAGGCUGCAUUCACUAUAGAAAUAAGACCAUAAAGUACUUGAACUCCUCAAAGCCAUCCGUGAGAGGUGGAAAUCAAAUUCUUCGAAACUCCUGUUAAUAUGGAUAUUUUGACCUUUUCCAUGAAUAAUGAAUGUUCUUAGUGGCGUCUAGAAUGGUGAAUCCUUUCUGGAGGGUUUUCAAUUGACUUUGUCCAGACAGAGCAGAGGAAUCACCAUCUAUGGCUGUUACAGCCCUGUGAAACAUAUUUGUGAAAUAAUAAAACUUGAAGGUCAAAAUUAUUUCUUGAUCAUGGGCUGCAGACUGGAUGUUGUGUUAAGAGACUUGAAAACAACUUUAAUCUCUGCAUAUCUCAAUCAGAGCUCUUAGGUUGCUAGGUGCAAUGUCAAUAUUUUGAAGGAAUUUUUUUUUUUUUUUCCUGAGCAGUUAGUCUCAAUAGUGGGCCUAAAAUAUUCAGUAAACCAUGUUGUAAACAGUUGUAUUAUCAUCCAGGCUUUGCUGUUCCAUUUAUAGGGUACAGGCAGAGUAGAUUUAGCAUACUUCUUAAGGGCCCUAGGAUUUUCAGAAUGGUAAAUGAACACUGGCUCAAUAAUAAUGGUGAAGAAGUUUGAAAUAUUUCGAGAAUUACCAAAAUGUGACACAGACAAAAUCAGCACAUGCUAUUGGAAAAAUGGGGCCAAUAGACUUGCUUCACACAGGGUUGCCACAAAUCUUUGACUUAUAAAAAAGAAAAGAAGCAGUAUCUGCGAAGUACAAUAAAAUGAAGUGCAAUAAAGUGAGGUGUACCUGUAUACCAAGUGCUAAUUACAGAUUUUUUUUUGUUACAGAACUUUUUUAUAAUCAUGAAACACAAGAAACAGUUACUAUCAAUGGAGAACAGAUCAGAGAAAACUGAUAUAUUCAUAUGUAGAAUAUUAUACAGAGUUUUAAAAUGAAAGAAACUAUGUAAAUUGAAAUGGAUAAAUCUUGAAAACAAUUUUGAGUAUAAAAAGCAACUUAUAGAAGAAUGUAUGCAUUUUGAUAUUUAUAUGAAGUUUGAAAGCAUGCAAGACUAUAUGCUUUGUUUCUUGAUACAUAUGUAAUUAUGAUAUAAAAA